rnacentral:sRNA from 1 species
CUUUUAAUAAACAUCACGGAUCUGUGCCCGGCGGUCCCUUGCCUUCGUGGUCAGGGUCGACUGCCGUGCAGCUCGAUAACUUCAUGGAGCCAUCAACUUGCUAUGGUGUCAAUUUCCUAUCGACAGGUCCUAGAACAACACGAUCUUUGACUGCCUCGUUCGUCGUCGCAAGACGGCUUGAGCGUUGUGGUUUCUGCAUCGUGAGGCGCUAUAUUCCAACCCUCUUUUCCAAGGCCGUCGGCCAGUGAGGUUGGGGAAAACCAUGGCGUGCCUACAGAA